UCUACUCUGUUUGUUAUUCUUUUUACCCUUUCUUUGUAGCAUAGCUCUAUUUCUGUACAUGGUAUCAGAGCACCAUGUCCGCAACUGGUCCUGAGUCAUCUUCUCUUGGUGGAAUACUGCAUACAGGAUCAGAGUCUGUUGGAGAUGUUAACUUUGGGGAUUCUUGCAAUCCUUAUUACUUGCAUCUUUCAGACAAUCCUGAAGUUGUGUUGGUUUCACAACUCUUGAAUGGAGAUACCUACCCUACUUGGAGCCGUGCAAUGACUAUGGCGUUGUCAGCCAAAAACAAGCUAGGGUUUGUGGAUGGAAGUCUUCCCCAACCAGACAUUGCUGCACGAGAGUUUAUGGCUUAGAGGCGCUGCAAUCAUAUGGACCCGACUUCAAUGAUGAUGACUGGACUCAGUGAGUUGCUGAAUGGGUUGGGCUCUACAUCUUCAGAUCUCUUGAUGUUUCAAACAGUCCAGUAGCCUUGAACACGACCACAGAUCAAAAAGAUAUCUGGCAUCUUCGACUUGGCCAUCCAUCUCAGUUUAAGAAUUCAGUUUUUCUAGAAUAUGAUAAGUCUAUCGUUUUUUCUAAGUUUUUUUGUGAAACUUGUAAGCUUGCAAAACAGACUAGAUUACCGUUUAAUAGAAGUGAAUCUGUUUUAAAUAA